GCCCAAGAGAUCGGGAUAACACCUGGAAACAGAUGCUAAUACCGGAUAACAACAGAUGAUGCCUAUCAACUGUUUAAAAGAUGGUUCUGCUAUCACUCUUGGAUGGACCUGCGGUGCAUUAGCUAGUUGGUAGGGUAACGGCCUACCAAGGCGAUGAUGCAUAGCCGAGUUGAGAGACUGAUCGGCCGCAUUGGGACUGAGACACGGCCCAAACUCCUACGGGAGGCAGCAGCU
rnacentral:rRNA from 1 species